UGGGGAGUCUUGGACAAUGGGCGCAAGCCUGAUCCAGCCAUGCCGCGUGGAUGAUGAAGGCCCUAGGGUUGUAAAAUCCUUUCGUUGGGGACGAUAAUGACGGUACCCAAAGAAGAAGCUCCGGCUAACUUCGUGCCAGCAGCCGCGGUAAUACGAAGGGGGCUAGCGUUGUUCGGAUUUACUGGGCGUAAAGCGCGUGUAGGCGGGUCGUUAAGUUGGGGGUGAAAUCCCGAGGCUCAACCUCGGAACUGCCUUCAAAACUGGCGACCUGGACCCAAGUAGAGGCAAGUGGAAUUGCGAGUGUAGAGGUGAAAUUCGUAGAUAUUCGCAGGAACACCAGUGGCGAAGGCGACUUGCUGGACUUGUGGUGACGCUGAGACGCGAAAGCGUGGGGAGCAAACAGGAUUAGAUACCCGGGUAGUCCCUGAGCGGGCUGGCAAGGCGCAU
rnacentral:rRNA from 1 species